UACGUAGGGUGCGAGCGUUGUCCGGAAUUAUUGGGCGUAAAGAGCUCGUAGGUGGUUCGGUAAGUCGGAUGUGAAAUCUCCAGGCUCAACCUGGAGGGGUCAUUCGAUACUGCCGUGACUAGAGUUCGGUAGAGGAGAGUGGAAUUCCUGGUGUAGCGGUGAAAUGCGCAGAUAUCGGGAAGAACACCCGUGGCGAAGGCGGUUCUCUGGGACGGUACUGACGCUGAGACGCGAAAGCGUGGGGAGCGAACAGG
rnacentral:rRNA from 1 species